GACGAACGCUGGCGGCGUGCUUAACACAUGCAAGUCGAACGGAAAGGCCCUGCUUUUGUGGGGUGCUCGAGUGGCGAACGGGUGAGUAACACGUGAGUAACCUUCCCUUGACUUUGGGAUAACUUCAGGAAACUGGGGCUAAUACCGGAUAGGAGCUCCUGCUGCAUGGUGGGGGUUGGACAGUUUCGGCGGUUGGGGAUGGACUCGCGGCUUAUCAGCUUGUUGGUGGGGUAGUUGCUUAGCAAGGCUUUGACGGGUAGCCGGCCUGAGAGGGUGACCGGCCACAUUGGGACUGAGAUACGGCCCAGACUCCUACGGGAGGCAGCAGUGGGGAAUAUUGCACAAUGGGCGGAAGCCUGAUGCAGCAACGCCGCGUGCGGGAUGACGGCCUUCGGGUUGUAAACCGCUUUCGCCUGUGACGAAGCGUGAGUGACGGUAAUGGGUAAAGAAGCACCGGCUAACUACGUG
rnacentral:rRNA from 1 species